GACGAACGCUGGCGGCGUGCCUAAUACAUGCAAGUCGAGCGAAGUUUUUCUGGUGCUUGCACCGGAAAAACUUAGCGGCGAACGGGUGAGUAACACGUAAAGAACCUGCCUCAUAGACUGGGACAACUAUUGGAAACGAUAGCUAAUACCGGAUAACAGCAUUAACUGCAUGGUUGAUGUUUAAAAGUUGGUUUUGCUAACACUAUGAGAUGGCUUUGCGGUGCAUUAGCUAGUUGGUGGGGUAAAGGCCUACCAAGGCGACGAUGCAUAGCCGACCUGAGAGGGUGAUCGGCCACACUGGGACUGAGACACGGCCCAGACUCCUACGGGAGGCAGCAGUAGGGAAUCUUCCGCAGUGGGCGAAAGCCUGACGGAGCACCGCCGCGUGAGUGAAGAAGGAUUUCGGUUCGUAAAGCUCUGUUGUUAGGGAAGAAUGAUUGUGUAGUAACUAUACACAGUAGAGACGGUACCUAACCAGAAAGCCACGGCUAACUACGUG
rnacentral:rRNA from 1 species